rnacentral:rRNA from 1 species
UACGGAGGGGGCUAGCGUUGUUCGGAAUCAUUGGGCGUAAAGGGCGCGUAGGCGGCCGAUCAAGUCGGAGGUGAAAUCCCUCGGCUCAACUGAGGAAUUGCCUUCGAUACUGGUCGGCUUGAGUCCUGGAGAGGGUAGCGGAAUUCCCGGUGUAGCGGUGAAAUGCGUAGAGACCGGGAAGAACACCAGUGGCGAAGGCGGCUACCUGGACAGGUACUGACGCUGCAGCGCGAAAGCUAGGGGAGCAAACAGG